GUAGGGAAUAUUGCACAAUGGAGGAAACUCUGAUGCAGCGACGCCGCGUGAGUGAUGAAGGCCUUCGGGUCGUAAAGCUCUGUCGUAUGGGACUAACACAAUGAAGGUACCAUGCAAGAAAGGAUCGGCUAACUUCGUGCCAGCAGCCGCGGUAAGACGAGGGAUCCUAGCGUUGUUCGGAAUUAUUGGGCGUAAAGCGGGUGUAGGCGGAUUUAUAAGUCAGUUGUGAAAUCCCAGGGCUCAACCCUGGAAGUGCACUUGAUACUGUAAGUCUUGAGUGUGGUAGAGGCUAUUAGAAUUAUUGGUGUAGUGGUGAAAUACGUAGAUAUCAAGAGGAAUACCGGAGGCGAAGGCGGAUAGCUGGGCCAACACUGACGCUGAGACCCGAAAGCGUGGGGAUCAAACAGGAUUAGAAACCCGUGUAGUCC
rnacentral:rRNA from 1 species